rnacentral:rRNA from 1 species
UACGAAGGGGGCUAGCGUUGUUCGGAAUCACUGGGCGUAAAGCGUACGUAGGCGGAUUGUUAAGUCAGGGGUGAAAUCCCGAGGCUCAACCUCGGAACUGCCUUUGAUACUGGCUGUCUUGAGUCCGGGAGAGGUGAGUGGAACUCCUAGUGUAGAGGUGAAAUUCGUAGAUAUUAGGAAGAACACCAGUGGCGAAGGCGGCUCACUGGCCCGGAACUGACGCUGAUGUACGAAGGCGUGGGGAGCAAACAAG